ensembl:lncRNA
GGAGAGGAGAGGAGAGGAGAGGAGAGGAGAGGAGAGGAGAGGAGAGGAGAGAAGAGAAGAGAAGAGAAGAGAAGAGAAGAGAAGAGAAGAGAAGAGAAGAGAAGAGAAGAGAAGAGAAGAGAAGAGAAGAGAAGAGAAGAGAAGAGAAGAGAAGAGAAGAGAAGAGAAGAGAAGAGAAGAGAAGAGAAGAGAAGAGAAGAGAAGAGAAGAGAAGAGAAGAGAAGAGAAGAGAAGGGCUGGAAGGGACCAUCAAAGAUCAUAGAUUCCAACUACCUGACCACUUCAAGACCAACCAGAAGUUAAAGCAUACUAUUUAAGGGCAUUACCAAGAUGUUUCUUGAACACUGCCUGUAAGAACCUGCUGUCAUCCCAUGAUUACAAACAUGGAGAGAAAAAAAGAAGUAGGCAUACACUUCACUUUAAAUCCUAAUUUAUUUUUUUUGUGACAAAUAUUUGAAGGCAAGAGCCUCAAAGCCAAAGAGGGAAUGAGUCACUACAAUAGCUUCUCAUUAAACUAAUGACAAGAUGUAUAAAUAGAGGGAGCUCACUUGGCUAAUGUUCUUGUCAUUCGCAACACUAAACCGCAGGAAAUUAAAACAGAGAAAAGUCGAAUGGUGUGCCUUGGACUGGGUGUUCAAUUAACCUUAAAUUAGAAAUGUUAACAUUUGAUUAAAAAUAAAACACACACAAAAAUCAGUUAUGCAUUUGCACCAGGUGCCCUGUAGCUGGAUAGGGUGAAGGAAGUGAAAACAAAUAUCAAGCUCUGUUGUCAACGCUUUGGAGUGAACAUGUACUGGGUAAUAUCACCUCAGAUCAGCUUAAUUUUAAACCUGGUGAGUUCCUCAUUCUUAUUGUUCUCUUCUUAAUGCCAAGUCAAUUACCCAGACACCUCCUCAGGUUACAUAGGUGGAAGCAGUUCUGAAAAAUAUCUGCUCAGUAAAGGCCAUUGUUUGCCACUCUGACACCACAAAAUCAACCUGCCAGGAAAAAAAACAUUCUGAAGGACCCCACUUUAAACCUCACUUCAGAGAAUACUCUGAUAAUACUCUUGAUUUUCAGAAGAGAAGUGGAUAUGAAUGAUCCUCAACUGUUUCAAAGGUAUUUAAAAAGGCAAAAUUACUGAAUUUUAAAUUGAAAAUUUUAGUUGAAAUAAAUGGAAAACAUGAUCAUUAUUCUGAAACAUUCUGAUAGUAUUUCAUUUUAAGUGGUGAUUGUCUAUUCCCAAUAUUCUUGAUGAAAAUGUGAACAUAGUAGUACUAAUACCAGAGAGUUUUUAAGCAAAGAUUGAGUCUUCUCUGGAGAUGAGUAAUUUCAUAAUAUCUCUUUGCCUGAUUGUUUUAAAUUUUAGAGCAAUUUCUGUUGAAGUAUGUUGUUAGAGCUUUGGCAAAAAAAAAAAAAAAAAAGAAAAGAAAAGAAAAAAGAACUUCUUUUUGUCUGAAAGAUGCCUUAAAAAUAGGUGAAGCUUCUUCAGCUCCAUAGCUAAUGCAAAGGAAGUAUGGAAACAUAUACUCCUCAUUCCCUCUCUUCUUCCUAAAGACCAAGCUUUAUUAUAGAAAGAAGAAUAAUUUAGAAUUUUAAAUAUAUUUGUAACAGACAAUAAAGGAAAUCUCUUCUCUACAAAGAUCCCUGGCGACAGAAAAGGAAUGGACUGUAAAAGAACACUAAUAACUGUAUAGAAAUGUGAGACUGACAGAAAAACAGCCCAGCAAAUUAAAUUACAGAACUACCGUAUGUGGUCUUUUCAUUAAAUUUAUCCAUUAAAUAUUGCACAACAUUUCUAUAUGGUAGAACAUCAGAACUGUGCAGUCGUUUGCUCCCAGCAUUUCUCAGCAUGCAGCAGAAAUAUGAGAUUUAUUCUGAGUAACUCUCAGUUACAAGCAAGGCCAUUACCCUUGCAAAGCAAAAUAAAAUAAAAUAAUAAUUAUAAGCAGCUGAAGGUGGUUGGGUGGCCAGGUAGGAGAUGCAGAUGGACUCCAACCUUGGAGGUACAAAUCAAGCUGUCUACUGGUUUCUGGAGAGAGCUAUUUCAAGAGUGGCACGUAGAAUAGAAGGACAACAUAAUUACUGAACACUGUCAAACUGACAUCCAUUUCUUUAUUAAAAUGCAAAUAAACUCUUCAUGUCACAGAUGAUGACUCAUAUAUAAGAUGGUAUUUUCAGGUCAUUGCCAGAGUUGAAUUUUUUGGACCAACAGUUUUCACAAAUUUUAGCACCACUAUGUGACAAUGACAACACUAUAUCUACAUGAAGAUGAUUUAUAGAAGGAUAAGAAAAGGAGUGUGGCAAAUUGCAAGGUGAAAGGAAAAAUCAAGGAAGCAGGAUGAAGUGUGGAGGUUUUGCAGGAAAUGGUGGGAUUGAAAUACUCCAGAAUUGGACUGACAAUAUAUAUAUAUAUAUAUAUAUAGUAAUCCAAAUUCCAUAAUAUACAGAUUUCAUCUGCUGCUAUUUGGAAUUUUUACACUGACUCUUCAGUCAAAAUGCGUAAAUCUGGUGACUUGUAUGCCUGAGAUGGCUCUUGGUCAAAGCUUACAUAAUACCUCUGCACAGGUGGAUAUAAUUACUCAUCGAUUAAUACAUGUAUUUCAUCUACAGAAGAUAAUACUACAGCUUGAAGAACUAUGAACUGAGAGCUUAAUCAACCAUCUAAAUACUUGUGAAUAUAAUUUAUGGAAAUUUCUUAUCGGUCUGAUGCACAGCACAGCAGGAAGGGCAGCAUGCUAUCAGAGCUGGCAGGCUAUGGGAGCUGAGGCCGUCUCGUAUACAGACAAAAGAGAAAUGUUGCACAAUGGAGCAGUUUAAAGAGCAGAAAGAGUCAUACAAGUUCAAAGGCAAAGGGAAUUGAUAACCUUGCUACCUCUUCAUUCGGAUUCAAAGAGAAGAACAGCAUUGGAAGAAGAUUGUAAAGGAUGUUAGAAUCAGUAGAUUUACUUGCUUGUCAUAACUUAAAGGUUGUCUGUGAUGUUGGAUUGCCAGAAGAUUAAAUCCUGUACUGGAGGAAUUGAAAUGUUAAAGUGACACUUUUAACAGCGCAUUUGAUGAAAAUGGUGAUGUCUUCUGCAAGAUGCACUGCACAGUGCUACCGUUCUCUUUUCAGCUUUAUAAGAACAAAAUUUUUGGAGAAAGAAAUUGAGGACUUGGAUCAAUGACUGUGGCUCUCACGUUCUACAGAGCCGUAGUGCUCUCACUCUUGAGGACCUGGUGGAAGCAUAAUAAAGUCAAUGGCUGAUUUACCAUUGACUUCCAUAAAAAUUUAUCUCCUGUGAUCUAAGGUAAUGUCCAUGAGUAAAUGGAAGACUGCUGAAGCAGUUCAUCUCAUCCUUUUAGCUGACUAAUAGCCAGGAAAUUACAUGAACUGUUGUGUGUAGAACAGAAAUUAUCUGAUCUAACUUCAAAAAUGUUUGGAGGCAUUUACAUGCAUUAUUAUUUGUUGUGAAGCACUCUUCAUAGACACAACUCUGGGAAAGACACGUAGUAAAUCACAGAAUCAUAGGAUCAGGGCAUAAUACAGAUUUAAAAGGAACUCUGGGAGUCUUCCAGCCUCUCUCUAGAAUUAGCACUGAAGCCCACAGGAAUUCUCCCAUCAAUGUCAAUAAGAACAGGACUAAUGUCAUCUUCUGUGAAUUGCUAUAAUCUAGUGUGUUUUUCUACCUUACAUAACUUCCAAAUUUAAAGGUUUGGGUUUUUUUUUUUUUUUUUUUUUUUGAAAAGUACCUCAGAAGGUAACCUGCUGAGCAUCAGCUGUAGAAGAAAAGGUGAUCAGAAAUGGGACAGACAGGUUGAAAAAGGGCAGAGACAACAGGCCCAAGAGAUGUAGCUGAAAAGAAACAGGUCAGGAAGAGAAGACUGGGGAUAGCUUUCCCUUACAUGUUUAAUCUUCACAGUAGUUGAAUCACUUUUUUUUUUUUUAACAGAUAAUACAUAGUGCAGCCAUAUGAUAUGUGUGAUAGUAAGUAUGUCAACUCUGCCUCCUCUUGAGAGACUGAGAUUAAAGAGGUGGAAACUGUAAAUGCUCUGGGAUCUCAGAAUAACGUUCUUUUCUAUGGGAAUGAAGUUUUUCCAUUUAGGUUUUGCUGAUUAUUACUUCAUGGGAAAGAUAUUACAAUAUCUCACUACUGUUUAUAAGAACCUGUAGGGAAGGAAAAAGUGUUGAGAAGGAGAAGAGCUAAGUCAGUGUAGGAUUUGAAAGAAAAAACUAUAAUUUCCUGGCUGAACUGCAGUAAAAGAAAUCCAAGCACAAAAGGAGGGAUGAGUAAAAUAAUGAGACAAACACAGAUUGGGAGUAUAUUUCAUUUACUAAAAGGUAGGUGCAGAAAGAAGAGAUAAAUACCAGGAUACAUUGGAGUUGCUUUGUAAAUACAACUGUGAGGACUUUGGAAGAGUAAAAAAUGGCAUUAGUAGGGUGUCAGUCAUGUCAUCCUCAGACAGGCACAUUGUCUGGGUAGCUCUCUGGUAGUGCUUGUUCUUCUCCAUUUGGGCACUAGAGGAGCCUAUUUGGACACUCAUCCUAUAGAUGCCUAUGUUGAGACAGAACAAUUAUACCCUCAGGUGGGACUCCUCUUUUCCAGCCUCAGAUAUCAACAGCAUAGAUCUAUAUUUCUAAAGUAAGCAUAUUAGGCUCUCUUUGUGCUCACUGGGGAGAAAUAAGGGCAAAAUCCGUUCGACCUAUUUGUGUCUUAAGCUCAUUUUGUACAAGAUAAACUGUGUCCUAGAGGUGUCUAUUAUGGGAGUUUAUGGUGUCAAGAUCAGGUGUAAAUGUCUGUAUUCCGGACAUCUUAGAACACCACCCUGUAAACAACUUUACCUUGCAGGCAGAUUUCAGAGGUUCCAUUAGGUUGUUAGCAACAUCAACGACACUUUCAUAGCCUGGGUCAUCUAAAGGGCACUGUGAUCAUCCAUGCAUCCUUUACUCUGGGCUGGUUUUGGUAUUAGCUACCUUCUCAGCUUUUUUCCAUUCAUCAGGAUCACAGAAUUGUUGAGGCUGACAGGGCCUUCUGGAUCCAUCUGCUCCAGCCCCUUCUCCAGCAGGGACACCCAGAGCAGGGUGCCCAGGGCCACAUCCAGGCAGCUCUGGGAGAUCCACAAGGAGGAGACCUCACAGCCUCGGGGCAGCCUGUGCCAGUGCUCCGUC